UGCCAGCCGCCGCGGUAAUACGGAGGGUGCAAGCGUUAAUCGGAAUUACUGGGCGUAAAGCGCGCGUAGGUGGAAUGUUAAGUCUCAUGUGAAAGCCCUGGGCUCAACCUGGGAACUGCAUGGGAUACUGGCAUUCUAGAAUACAGUAGAGGGAGGUGGAAUUUCAGGUGUAGCGGUGAAAUGCGUAGAGAUCUGAAGGAACAUCAGUGGCGAAGGCGACCUCUGGUCUGAUACUGACGCUGAGGUGCGAAAGCUAGGGGAGCAAACGGGAUUAGAUA
rnacentral:rRNA from 1 species